rnacentral:rRNA from 1 species
UACGUAGGGUGCAAGCGUUGUCCGGAAUUAUUGGGCGUAAAGAGCUCGUAGGCGGUCUGUCGCGUCGGCUGUGAAAACUCGGGGCUCAACUCCGAGCUUGCAGUCGAUACGGGCAGGCUAGAGUUCGGCAGGGGAGACUGGAAUUCCUGGUGUAGCGGUGAAAUGCGCAGAUAUCAGGAGGAACACCGGUGGCGAAGGCGGGUCUCUGGGCCGAUACUGACGCUGAGGAGCGAAAGCGUGGGGAGCAAACAGG